GAUGAACGCUGGCGGCGUGCUUAACACAUGCAAGUCGAGCGAGAAGUUAGUAAAUGAAUUUUCGGAGGAUUUUAUUAAUGGAAAGCGGCGGACGGGUGAGUAACGCGUAGGCAACCUACCCUAUACAAAGGGAUAGCUCCGGGAAACCGGAAUUAAUCCCUUAUAACACCUUAGUGUCACAUGGCACAAAGGUCAAAGAUUUAUCGGUAUAGGAUGGGCCUGCGUUUGAUUAGCUAGUUGGUAGGGUAACGGCCUACCAAGGCGACGAUCAAUAGCCGACCUGAGAGGGUGAUCGGCCACACUGGAACUGAGACACGGUCCAGACUCCUACGGGAGGCAGCAGUGGGGAAUAUUGCACAAUGGGCGAAAGCCUGAUGCAGCAACGCCGCGUGAGGGAAUAAGGUCUUCGGAUCGUAAACCUCUGUCCAAAGGGAAGAAACAAAUGACGGUACCUUUGGAGGAAGCCCCGGCUAACUACGUGCCAGCAGCCGCGGUAAGAC
rnacentral:rRNA from 1 species